GAAGAGAGUCACAUAACAUAGGAGCUGGGCUCAGCUUUAUGUCAUAAUAACCCCUGCAGGCAGGGCCCAAGCACAAUAGGAGAGUCUUAUUACUUAGGUGCUGAGCCAAGCCAUAUGUUGAAAUCUUCACUGUGGACAGGGUCCAGGCAUAAGAGGACAGUCGCAUCUCUGAUGGGACCAUAGAUAUGUCACAAUGACUUCUGCAGGCAGGGCCCAGGCCAAAGAAUCAGCCAAUUAGUUCAGCAAACUUGGAUUCAAUCAAACAGUUAUCUAAAUAGCGACUGCAGAUUCAUCAAGUCAGGCCCAAAACAGUGGACGUGACAGCACAUUCCUACACUGAGAAGGCAUUGUGAAGACCCUGAUUCCAUAGCUGUGAAGCUGCAAGGUCACUAGACAGAUAAACUCAAGUCGCAAAACAUGGUUUUCCUUGAAAAGUAGACACAUGUAGGCGGAGGAGCCACAGAGGAAGAAGAGACCGUUGUGAGGCAAAAUUGGAGCACCAAAAGAGGAAGGGAAAGGAGGGAUAGUGAGAAAGGCUGGAGAAGAG